AAAGUAGGAGACGAGCGUUAUCCGGAAUUACUGGGCGUAAAGCGCGUGUAGGCGGAAGUGUAAGUCUUUUGUGAAAGCUCCUGGCUAAACUGGGAGAGGUCGAAAGAUACUGCACAUCUGGAGUAUGGGAGAGGGGUGUGGAAUUCCGGGUGUAGUGGUGAAAUGCGUAGAUAUCCGGAGGAACACCAGUGGCGAAGGCUGCACCCUGGCCCAAGACUGACGCUAAGACGCGAAAGCAUGGGGAGCGAACGGG
rnacentral:rRNA from 1 species